rnacentral:lncRNA from 1 species
AGGCUAUAUACAGGGGGUACCGGUACAGAGUCAAUGUGGAGGCUAUAUACAGGGGGUUACCGUACAGAGUCAAUGUGGAGGCUAUAUACAGGGUGUUACGGUACAGAGUCAAUGUGGAGGCUAUAUACAGGGUAUUACGGUACAGAGUCAAUGUGGAGGCUAUAUACAGGGUGUUACGGUACAGAGUCAAUGUGGAGGCUAUAUACAGGGCGUACCGGUACAGAGUCAAUGUGGAGGCUAUAUACAGGGUGUUACGGUACAGAGUCAAUGUGGAGGCUAUAUACAGGGGGUACCGGUGCAGAGUCAAUGUGGAGGCUAUAUACAGGGGGUACCGGUACAGAGUCAAUGUGGAGGCUAUAUACAGGGGUGACCGGUACAGAGUCAAUGUGGAGGCUAUAUACAGGGUGUUACGCUACCGAGUCAAUGUGGAGGCUAUAUACAGGGGGGUACCGGUACAGAGUCAAUGUGGA